rnacentral:tRNA from 1 species
GGAUGGGUGGCAGAGCGGUUGAAUGCACUGGUCUUGAAAACCAGCGGACGUGCAAGCGUCCCGGGGGUUCGAAUCCCUCCCCAUCCGCCA